GGAUUAGAUACCCUGGUAGUCCACGCCGUAAACGAUGUCUACUAGCCGUUGGGGAACUUGAUUCCUUAGUGGCGCAGCUAACGCGAUAAGUAGACCGCCUGGGGAGUACGGCCGCAAGGUUAAAACUCAAAUGAAUUGACGGGGGCCCGCACAAGCGGUGGAGCAUGUGGUUUAAUUCGAAGCAACGCGAAGAACCUUACCUGGUCUUGACAUCCUGCGAACUUUCUAGAGAUAGAUUGGUGCCUUCGGGAACGCAGAGACAGGUGCUGCAUGGCUGUCGUCAGCUCGUGCCG
rnacentral:rRNA from 1 species